AUCGGCCUGGAAUCGAGGCUAGCUAUUAGUAUAUUCGCGUUCACUUUUGUGACAUUUAUAUUUGUGUACGAACCGUGUACUAUCCAGUAUCCCGUUUAUCAUUAUUGGAAUGGCUGAAGCUUUUAUCUUCCCUGGAGCUUAUUCUGAAGACAGAAGAACAAGUGAAGAGGCUAUAAAGCUUUGUCAAGCUUAUCAAGGUCAGAUAUUUUUGUGUGGUUCUAUCAAGUCAUUUUUGUUUGGCAAGAUCUAGAUCCACCAUUGACAUGAUACUUUAUAUGGUGGAUCAAGUGAAGAAUGUGAGCUAGAGGACUUGGUGCUGCCAUCAUCAGCUCGAACAGAGGGAUCGCCAAUGACACUAUAACCUGUUUAAUACGAUAAAUUUAAUAUGUACACGUUAUAGAAUGUCUACUUCUCUGCACAGGAGCAAUGGCUAAUAUCCAGCUAUCCCAACAGUACUCCUAGAUCCUCUUGGCUAUACUAACGGACGAGACUGGACAGUGAGAGGACUGGAGUGUAUCUAUAUCUGCUUGUCCGAGUGUUGUUUCUGAUAGCUCAGAGGCAUCAAGAGAAUCUAUGUUUCUCAAACAAGAUUUACCUGAGUUUAUACGAAUAGGGACCUGGAAUCAGAGAGGUCCCAGCAGCCUGCUAAACCUUCUUGAAAAGUAAUUUAAGGCAUUCAAUCAUCCUGAAGUUGCCCUGCAUGGGUCACUAUAAUUAUGCUGCAGCACAACCGGCAACUCUCCUUGUGAAGCAGCUCCCUAUGUGCAUCUUUUGUAUACCCACUCUGUGAAUUUUCUAUGUAUAUAUAUAUACAAUGAUUGGUUAAUUAAAUAUAAUAUUAUUUUA